AAGGCCAGUGCUUGCACUGGUGCUCGAGUGGCGAACGGGUGAGUAACACGUGGGUGAUCUGCCCUGCACUUUGGGAUAAGCCUGGGAAACUGGGUCUAAUACCAGAUAGGACCACGUCUUGGAUGGUGUGGUGGAAAGUUUUUUCGGUGUGGGAUGAGCUCGCGGCCUAUCAGCUUGUUGGUGGGGUAAUGGCCUACCAAGGCGUCGACGGGUAGCCGGCCUGAGAGGGUGUACGGCCACAUUGGGACUGAGAUACGGCCCAGACUCCUACGGGAGGCAGCAGUGGGGAAUAUUGCACAAUGGGCGCAAGCCUGAUGCAGCGAUGCCGCGUGGGGGAUGACGGCCUUCGGGUUGUAAACUCCUUUCGCCAGGGACGAAGCG
rnacentral:rRNA from 1 species